UACGUAGGGCGCAAGCGUUAUCCGGAAUUAUUGGGCGUAAAGAGCUACGUAGGCGGUUUGUCGCGUCUGCCGUGAAAGUCCGGGGCUCAACUCCGGAUCUGCGGUGGGUACGGGCAGACUAGAGUGAUGUAGGGGAGACUGGAAUUCCUGGUGUAGCGGUGAAAUGCGCAGAUAUCAGGAAGAACACCCGUGGCGAAGGCGGUUCUCUGGGACGGUACUGACGCUGAGACGCGAAAGCGUGGGGGAGCGAACAGG
rnacentral:rRNA from 1 species